UACGGAGGAUCCGAGCGUUAUCCGGAUUUAUUGGGUUUAAAGGGUGCGCAGGCGGAAGAUUAAGUCGGUGGUGAAAUUUUGCAGCUCAACUGUAAAAGUGCCAUCGAUACUGGUUUUCUUGAGUGUGGAUGAAGUAGGCGGAAUUUGUGGUGUAGCGGUGAAAUGCAUAGAUAUCACGAGGAACUCCGAUUGCGCAGGCAGCUUACUAGGCCAUAACUGACGCUCAGGCACGAAGGCGUGGGGAUCAAACAGGAUUAGA
rnacentral:rRNA from 1 species